UUAACACAUGCAAGUCGAACGAUGAAGCCCAGCUUGCUGGGUGGAUUAGUGGCGAACGGGUGAGUAACACGUGAGUAACCUGCCCUUGACUCUGGGAUAAGCACUGGAAACGGUGUCUAAUACCGGAUAUUUCAGCUGGCCGCAUGGUCUGGUUGUGGAAAGAAUUUUGGUCAAGGAUGGACUCGCGGCCUAUCAGGUUGUUGGUGAGGUAAUGGCUCACCAAGCCUACGACGGGUAGCCGGCCUGAGAGGGUGACCGGCCACACUGGGACUGAGACACGGCCCAGACUCCUACGGGAGGCAGCAGUGGGGAAUAUUGCACAAUGGGCGAAAGCCUGAUGCAGCAACGCCGCGUGAGGGACGACGGCCUUCGGGUUGUAAACCUCUUUUAGUAGGGAAGAAGCGAAAGUGACGGUACCUGCAGAAAAAGCACCGGCUAACUACGUGCCAGCAGCCGCGGUAAUACGUAGGGUGCAAGCGUUGUCCGGAAUUAUUGGGCGUAAAGAGCUCGUAGGCGGUUUGUCGCGUCUGCUGUGAAAACUGGAGGCUCAACCUCCAGCCUGCAGUGGGUACGGGCAGACUAGAGUGCGGUAGGGGAGAUUGGAAUUCCUGGUGUAGCGGUGGAAUGCGCAGAUAUCAGGAGGAACACCGAUGGCGAAGGCAGAUCUCUGGGCCGUAACUGACGCUGAGGAGCGAAAGCAUGGGGAGCGAACAGGAUUAGAUACCCUGGUAGUCCAUGCCGUAAACGUUGGGAACUAGAUGUGGGGGCCAUUCCACGGUCUCCGUGUCGCAGCUAACGCAUUAAGUUCCCCGCCUGGGGAGUACGGCCGCAAGGCUAAAACUCAAAGGAAUUGACGGGGGCCCGCACAAGCGGCGGAGCAUGCGGAUUAAUUCGAUGCAACGCGAAGAACCUUACCAAGGCUUGACAUAUACGA
rnacentral:rRNA from 1 species